rnacentral:rRNA from 1 species
UACGGAGGGUGCAAGCGUUAUCCGGAUUCACUGGGUUUAAAGGGUGCGUAGGUGGGUUGGUAAGUCAGUGGUGAAAUCUUGGAGCUUAACUCCGAAACUGCAUUCGAUACUGCCGUGCUUGAGGACUGGAGAGGAGACUGGAAUUUACGGUGUAGCGGUGAAAUGCGUAGAUAUCGUAAGGAAGACCAGUGGCGAAGGCGGGUCUCUGGACAGUUCCUGACGCUGAGGCACGAAGGCCAGGGGAGCAAACGGG